AGGUACCACGCCGGACACUCCGCCUCCUCCGCGCCGUCCGCACCUACCUGGCGACUGCUCGCUACGUUCUGGUAACC
rnacentral:sRNA from 1 species